ACGGGAGGCAGCAGUGAGGAAUAUUGGUCAAUGGUCGGAAGACUGAACCAGCCAUGCCGCGUGCAGGAAUAAGGCCCUAUGGGUCGUAAACUGCUUUUGUGGUGGAGCAAUAAGGCGUACGUGUACGUCGAUGAGAGUACAUCACGAAUAAGCAUCGGCUAACUCCGUGCCAGCAGCCGCGGUAAUACGGAGGAUGCAAGCGUUAUCCGGAUUUAUUGGGUUUAAAGGGUGCGUAGGCUGUGUGGCAAGUCAGCGGUGAAAGGCCGGAGCUCAACCCCGGAACUGCCGUUGAUACUGUCAUGCUGGAAUACGGAUGCCGUGGGAGGAAUGAGUAGUGUAGCGGUGAAAUGCAUAGAUAUUACUCAGAACACCGAUUGCGAAGGCAGCUCACGAGACCGUCAUUGACGCUGAGGCACGAGAGCGUGGGGAUCAAACAGGAUUAGAUACCCUGGUA
rnacentral:rRNA from 1 species